rnacentral:antisense_RNA from 1 species
GUGGGAGCAAGGCUUGCCCGCGAUGCAGGCACCUCGGUUCUCCUGAAACCGUGUCGACUUCAUCGCGGGCAAGCCUUGCUCCCAC